rnacentral:rRNA from 1 species
UACGAAGGGGGCUAGCGUUGCUCGGAAUCACUGGGCGUAAAGCGCACGUAGGCGGCUUUCUAAGUCAGGGGUGAAAUCCUGGAGCUCAACUCCAGAACUGCCUUUGAUACUGGAGAGCUUGAGUCCGGAAGAGGUGAGUGGAACUCCGAGUGUAGAGGUGAAAUUCGUAGAUAUUCGGAAGAACACCAGUGGCGAAGGCGGCUCACUGGGCCGGUACUGACGCUGAGGUGCGAAAGCGUGGGGAGCAAACAGG